GCCACUGUGGCUCAGUUGGUUGGAGCAUCGACCUGUGUGUCAAAGGGUCCUGGGUUCGAAUCCCGGUCAGGGCA
rnacentral:tRNA from 1 species